rnacentral:rRNA from 1 species
AGAGUUUGAUCCUGGCUCAGAUUGAACGCUAGCGGGAUGCCUUACACAUGCAAGUCGAACGGCAGCACGGACUUCGGUCUGGUGGCGAGUGGCGAACGGGUGAGUAAUGUAUCGGAACGUGCCUAGUAGCGGGGGAUAACUACGCGAAAGCGUAGCUAAUACCGCAUACGCCCUACGGGGGAAAGCAGGGGAUCGCAAGACCUUGCACUAUUAGAGCGGCCGAUAUCGGAUUAGCUAGUUGGUGGGGUAACGGCUCACCAAGGCGACGAUCCGUAGCUGGUUUGAGAGGACGACCAGCCACACUGGGACUGAGACACGGCCCAGACUCCUACGGGAGGCAGCAGUGGGGAAUUUUGGACAAUGGGGGAAACCCUGAUCCAGCCAUCCCGCGUGUGCGAUGAAGGCCUUCGGGUUGUAAAGCACUUUUGGCAGGAAAGAAACGUCAUGGGCUAAUAC